rnacentral:pre_miRNA from 1 species
UUCAAGUAAUCCAGGAUAGGCUGGUGCCAGGCCCGUGGCCUAUUCUCGAUUACUUGUCUC